rnacentral:rRNA from 1 species
GACGAACGCUGGCGGCGUGCUUAACACAUGCAAGUCGAACGGAAAGGCCCUGCUUUUGUGGGGUGCUCGAGUGGCGAACGGGUGAGUAACACGUGAGUAACCUGCCCUUGACUUUGGGAUAACUUCAGGAAACUGGGGCUAAUACCGGAUAGGAGCUCCUGCUACAUGGUGGGGGUUGGAAAGUUUCGGCGGUUGGGGAUGGACUCGCGGCUUAUCAGCUUGUUGGUGGGGUAGUGGCUUACCAAGGCUUUGACGGGUAGCCGGCCUGAGAGGGUGACCGGCCACAUUGGGACUGAGAUACGGCCCAGACUGCUACGGGAGGCAGCAGUGGGGAAUAUUGCACAAUGGGCGGAAGCCUGAUGCAGCAACGCCGCGUGCGGGAUGACGGCCUUCGGGGUGUAAACCGCUUUCGCCUGUGACGAAGCGUGAGUGACGGUAAUGGGUAAAGAAGCACCGGCUAACUACGUG